rnacentral:rRNA from 1 species
AGCAGUCGCCGCGGGAAUACGUAGGUGGCAAGCGUUGCCCGGAAUUAUUGGGCGUAAAGCGCGCGCAGGCGGAUCAGUCAGUCUGUCUUAAAAGUUCGGGGCUUAACCCCGUGAUGGGAUGGAAACUAGUAGGCUAGAGUAUCGGAGAGGAAAGCGGAAUUCCUAGUGUAGCGGUGAAAUGCGUAGAUAUUAGGAAGAACACCAGUGGCGAAGGCGGCUUUCUGGACGAAAACUGACGCUGAGGCGCGAAAGCCAGGGGAGCGAACGGGAUUAGAGACCCCCGUAGUCCCUGUCUCUUAUACA